UUUCCGUAGGUGAACCUGCGGAAGGAUCAUUAAUGAGUUGUCAUGGGGUUCGAUGCUGGCAGCCAAUUUUUGGAUGCAUGUGCUUGCCCUAACAAUCAUCUUCCAAACACCUGUGCACAUUUUUGAGGGAGUCUUGAGUUGGUUGCCGCUCUUGGGUGAUUUUCUCACAUUCCCUUAAAUCAUUAUACGCUAUUAACAAUGUUGAACGUGCUCUGUGCCGCAAGGCUAUUAACAUAAUACAACUUUUAACAACGGAUCUCUUGGCUCUC
rnacentral:misc_RNA from 1 species